AAUGAUCCAUGUGAUGUCUCUUUUAAAUAUGAGUAUACAUUUAUAAUAAGUUUUUAAUCUUUUGGAUUACUGACAUACUACACUAUAUUAGUUUCUUCAUUUCUGUUUGUAUUUGCACAGCUGAACCAUUCCACAUUGGAUCCAGAUUUCAGGCCUAUAUCCAUAGACUGGGAUUAUACUACCCAGGUGCUACAUCUAGAGUGAGUCUAUAGCUCCAAACACUGUAAGUGUAUUUCUCUUUUUAUCCAAUUUUGAAGUACAUACAUACUACACUAUAUUUCUUUCCCUUUGUCCCCUCUCUUCAGUAUAUAUAAUCUUGGAUUUGAGGUCCCCUUCAAGGCAAUGCUCCCUAAUUUCAUCUUCUCUACUACACAUCAAUGAACAGAUAAGAAAGACUGUGAUUUGAGUGCUAAAGCUGCCUUCCAUAUUCAUAUAUUAAACGCUAGAACACUAUCUACUUCUAAUAUAUAUAUAUAUAUAUAUAUAUAUAUAUAUAUGUGUAUGUAUGUAUGUAUGUGUAUAUAUAUAUAUAUAUACCAAUAACUCUGCACUCACCUGAACAUGCAUACAUUAUAAGGGUGCUGCAGGGACAAUUAAUACAACAUAGAAGGUAAUUUAAGGAUAUUAUAGCACUAGUAAAAGUGCAGAGGUGGGCUACAAAAUUUAUAAAAGUAAUGGAACAUUUUAGCUAUGAAGAAAGGUUAACAAAUUUAAACUCUUUUUAAGUUUAGAAAAACAUAGCUUCAGAGGGGAUAUGAUAACAUUAUUCAAAUAUAUCCGGGCCAAUACAAACCAUUAUGGGGAAAUCUAUUCACAAAAAGGACUAUACAUAGGACAUGAAGUCAUGCAUUUAGACUGGAAGAAAGAAGAUUUAGUCUAAGGCAAAGGAAAGGUUUUUUUACUGUACGAACAAUAAGGAUGUGGAAUUCUGUGCCUGAAGAAGUGGUUUUAUCAGAGUCCAUACAGAUGUUUAAACAGCAACUAAAUGCAUACUUGCAAAAACAGAAUAUUCAAGGAUAUAAUCUUUCAAUGUAGGGUAAUAACUGCUUGGUCAAAGGAUUAAUCUGACUGCCAUUCUGGGGUCAAAAGGGAUUUUUCUUUUCCUAGUUUGUUGCGAAAUUGGAAGUGCUUCAAAUUGUUGGGGUUUUUUUUUUUGCCUUCUUUUGGAUCAAAAGUAAAAAAGAAAUGUGAGGAAGGCUGAACUUGAUAGACACAUUUUCUUUUUCAGCCUAUGUAGCUAUGUAACUAUCCAGUGCACUCACUCAUUCACUAAACAGCAAUUCAAGGCUCACAUAAUAUAAUAGAUUUAUUUAAAAGCACCUCACCUAGGCAAAAAUAAUAGAGGUUAUAAGUUUGUAUUGCAUGUUCCUUUGAGUGCAGCCCUCUACAUAUAGAGUCCAGACCAACUCCCGAGUUUUGCACCCCUCAAUAUCACAUGUGCCUCAUUCCAGGGCUCUGUUUAACGUUACACUGCAGAGAGUCCUGGUAGGAAUCAUGUCCUAAGUAAGUGAUUAAUCUCAUAAGAGCAGGCAUUAGGUUCUAGAAUAGUGAAUGGGGUACAUUGACACUGUGGCAGGCUUAUGCAAUAUAUGAUCAUGUGCUGUAACUUAUUUUUUAGCUUGGUGAGGUGUUUUUAAAUAAAAUUAUUAAAUUCUGUGAGUCUUAAAAUUGCUGUUUAGUAAAUGAGUGAGUGCGCUGGAUCUUGUAUGAUAUACAUAUAUAUACACUUCGGAAAUUCGGAACUUCGGCAUUUUGGAAUUUCGGGACUUCGGCACUUCGGGACUUCUAUUGCAGCCGCUUAGUAGAUAACUCCCUAAUUCCCACGGUAUUAGGGAGUUAUCUACCAAAAGGCUGAACGACCUAAAUUGGUCUUUCAGACAAAUUUACUAAUACUAAGUAAAAAUGACUUAGUAUUAGUAAAUUUUGCCCCUACUCGCUAUACCGCGAGUAGGGGCAUGUCUAGUAAACAGUGAGCAAAAUAGGGGUCCUAUUGCCCCUCUGCCCCCUCCCCUGAGCGGCGGGUGGGGGCCCUAAAGUAAAAUGAUGGGGGGGGGGACCUAUUGUCCUCCCCCUGGCCCUCACUCCUGAGCAGUGGGUGGGGGCCCUAAAUACUAAUGGGGGGGACCUAAUGUCCUCCCCCCUGGCCCCCACCCCGUGCGGUGGGUGGGGGCCCUAAAUUGGAAUAAGGGGGGGGACCUAAGAGAACAGGUAAUAUGAGGAGAUCAUAAAUUCAAGGCAACAAUUGAUCAUAAGUGAUGACAUCAUGUUCAUGUUUCUAACAAUUGUUUCAAGUUAUAAUACCAGGAAUGAGGUUUUGGGUAUGUUCAAAACGCGUAGUUAGCCAUCAAGUGUGCCGCAACGCCCUCGUUUGAGUGCUCGCUUGUUCAAUACUUUAGAUUUUGUAUUACGAAUAAAAAUUAACAAAGUAACAGAAAAAUUAGAGAGAGGUGAAGAGAGGAAAGGAUAGUGAAGCUUUUGAGCCAGAGGGAGACGUAUUGGCCCCUGUGUGUAUGAUGUACUUAGGUAGUUCGUGGACCUGUGAAUCGUGUGGACCCCCACCUAUGGGAGUGUUCUCUCAGGAAGGAAGGUCGGGGCCCCACGCCACGCUAUAGAGAAUCUUUCAUUAUGUUGUCAUUGUCGUUGGUGCCCCAUCGGACGCCCCCCUAGAGGCCCACGGCUAGUAGCCAUGACCCCGGUCUUUUCCCCCCCCCUGGAAUUCCCCCCCCCCCCCACCCCCCCGGUGAAUAAACUAGCAGUUUUAAAUCAAGCCUAAAGGAAAUUAAGUCAUCUGGAUACAGUUGCAAUGUUUUGGUUUUUUAAACUUAUAUACUUUUCUAUAUAUUAUUUUCUUUUAAAUGCUCCUUCCUGCUCACCCCAUUCAUAAUUAGUAUGCAAUUUUCAUCUGCAGGCUCUUAUACUGAGAUUUCAACACCACUGACUUGCACAGAAUGUAUGAUACCCAGGAAACAUG